rnacentral:lncRNA from 1 species
CAGACAGAGUAAGGGAUUGCUCUGAAAACUAAUCAGGUGAUCUUUGUUUUCUAUUGCUUCAAGUUUUAUACAAAAUAUUGUUAAAUUCUGUAAUGAUGAUAUGCAUCUUUUUAGAAAGAUAAUACAUUUUAAAAAACUAUUUUAUGUAAGAACUGACAGAGGAAUUUGCUUUGUAUAAUGGCAAGCUGGCUUUAAGAAAGCACUGUAUCAAAUUUACUAGUCCAAAAUUAUAUAGAUAUGUUAAUAGAUGUAUGUGCAACUAGAUAUGGACAAUUGUAUAUAUCUACAUUAAAAUAUUUAAAGCCUGUGUUGAGAUAGGUAGUGAAAAGAGGAAAUUGUAAAAUGAUUGUUGAUAUAAAAAGGAAUUAAAAGAAUACUAACUGGCUAG